rnacentral:rRNA from 1 species
UACAGAGGUCUCAAGCGUUGUUCGGAUUCAUUGGGCGUAAAGGGUGCGUAGGUGGCGUGGUAAGUCGGGUGUGAAAUUUCGGAGCUUAACUCCGAAACUGCAUUCGAUACUGCCGUGCUUGAGGACUGGAGAGGAGACUGGAAUUUACGGUGUAGCAGUGAAAUGCGUAGAUAUCGUAAGGAAGACCAGUGGCGAAGGCGGGUCUCUGGACAGUUCCUGACACUGAGGCAACGGAAGGCCCAGGGGAGCAAACGGG